CAUUCUUGAAGCUUCCAAUGCCAUCUUCUCAUUCACCACCAUGAAAAUGGAGUUUUUCAAUUUCUUUUCCUUGUUUUCUUGUCAUUUCCUUUCUUUUCUUACUUCUUUCUUCUCCAAACUUCUUGGGCACUAAACUUGCAGCUUCUAAACCCAAUUUCCAGCACAUCUAAACCCUAGGAGAAGAAGAAAGAAAAAGAGAGAAAGGAAGAAAAAGCUUAAUUUUGUAAUUCAAGAAACAUAAGCUAUGGUGGCCAUGGGUGUGAGGAAAUUAUGAAUUUUGUUUAGUGAAAUCCAAGCUAAAACCAAGUGGAAAUACAAAGGUAAAGUUAGAGUACUGUGGUGGCGUGCCAGAGGAAAUAACAGCGACCGGCAAGUAAGAAUAGGUAGAUACGCCUCUGAACAAAUAGCGAUGUAAUAUCCCACUAUCGUAAGGU